CAAGUCGCACGAGAAAGGGGCUUCGGCUCUGAGUAAAGUGGCGCACGGGUGAGUAACACGUGAAUUAUCUACCUCCGAGUGGGGAAUAACUGAGAGAAAUCUUAGCUAAUACCGCAUAACACUUACGAGUCAAAGCAGCAAUGCGCUUGGAGAGGAGUUCGCGGCCGAUUAGUUAGUUGGCGGGGUAAUGGCCCACCAAGACGAUGAUCGGUAUCCGGCCUGAGAGGGCGCACGGACACACUGGAACUGAAACACGGUCCAGACUCCUACGGGAGGCAGCAGUGGGGAAUUUUGCGCAAUGGGGGAAACCCUGACGCAGCAACGCCGCGUGGAGGAUGAAAUCCCUUGGGAUGUAAACUCCUUUCGAUAGGGAAGAUUAUGACGGUACCUAUAGAAGAAGCCCCGGCUAACUUCGUGCCAGCAGCCGCGGUAAUACGAGGGGGGCAAGCGUUGUUCGGAAUUAUUGGGCGUAAAGGGCGCGUAGGCGGUUUGACAAGUCUGAUGUGAAAUCUCUGGGCUCAACCCAGAGUCUGCAUUAGAAACUGUCGGGCUUGAGUAUGGGAGAGGUGAGUGGAAUUUCCGGUGUAGCGGUGAAAUGCGUAGAUAUCGGAAGGAACACCUGUGGCGAAA
rnacentral:rRNA from 1 species